rnacentral:rRNA from 1 species
AUCAUUAACGUUAUACGGGCCUGGCACCCUCUAUGGGUAAAUGGCCUCAUUUAAGAAAGGACUUAAAUCGUUAAUUUCUCAUACUAGUAAUAUUGAUGUUCCAUACACUGCAUCUCACAUUUGCCAUAUAGACAAAGUGACUUAGUGCUGAACUGAUUUCUUUUCGCUCGCCGCUACUAAGA